AAUGUAACAGUGUGGACGCUAGGUGUAAUGUAACAGUGUGGACGCUAGGUGUAAUUGUAACAUUGUGGACGCUAGGUGUAAUGUAACAGUGUGGAUGCUAGGUGUAAUGCAUACAGUGUGGAUGCUAGGUGUAAUGUAACAGUGUGGACGCUAGGUGUAAUGUAACAGUGUGGAUGCUAGGUGUAAUGUAACAGUGUGGAUGCUAGGUGUAAUGUAACAGUGUGGAUGCUAGGUGUAAUGUAACAGUGUGGAUGCUAGGUGUAAUG